rnacentral:rRNA from 1 species
UACGGGGGGAGCAAGCGUUGUUCGGAUUUACUGGGCGUAAAGGGCGCGUAGGCGGUCGUGACAAGUCACUUGUGAAAUCUCCGGGCUUAACUCGGAACGGUCAAGUGAUACUGUCGGACUAGAGUACAGAAGGGGCAACUGGAAUUCUCGGUGUAGCGGUGAAAUGCGUAGAUAUCGGGAGGAACACCAGAGGCGAAGGCGGGUUACUGGGCUGAUACUGACGCUGAUGCGCGAAAGCCAGGGGAGCAAACGGG